AAUAUUUCUCAGCCUAAUUAGAAGCGUAUUAUAUAGGUUUUGUUGAGCUGAAGCAUCAUUGGCAUUAAAAAAUACCCUUAACCCGAGACUCACUUCACUCUUCCCAAGAGGUCAAAAAAAGUGAAAUUUUUAUACCAAUAUUACUAAUGCACUUUGAAUAUAAGUAAAAAAAUUAUCCUCGGGUGAAAAUGAAACUAAAUAUAACUUAACUAUAAAGAAAUGGACGAUGCACAAUAGGAAUGGACUAGUUUCGUCA